ensembl:lncRNA
AUGGAGUCUUUCCUCUUGAAUGACAUCGGCUCCAUGACAUGCAACAAAGCCAUCGAGAGAAUCAUCUCAGCGAUGACUGUUCAGCUUUGUCAUCUGAUCCUCUCAAUGGAGAAAAAAGGCAUGGAGAAUGAAGUGUUUGCCUCUUUGGAGAAAACGGCAGAGGAGCUGGUUCAAGCUAGUGAAGGGUUUGUGCAAGUUGCCCAAAGGUGCUGCCCAUGCUUCAGGAAAGGGCUCCAGGUGAAGAGGAACCUGCCCACGUGUUAAAUCAGAGACACAAACUACCCAAGGAAAGAGUCAGUGAACACAGGAUGCCCGCGUGCCGUGGGUCCCAUGUUUGUGCUCCUUUCCUCCCCAGCCUGUGAGUUCUCUUCCCUCGUCCAUGCUUGCAGGGCACGUGGAAGGCAGAGCCUCAGGGAUCAACCCUAGGAGAUCCAGAAAAGCACUGUGUCUCCAUCAACCUAUCAGACUUUGCUUGUCCCAUCUCUCAAGGUCUCCAAGAAGAGGGUCAGAGAAAUACGGGGCACUGAGGUAAAGGGUGAUAAUAUAAAGAUGAGAAUAUGUGCCUUCAGAGAUGGCACCCAGGGAUGCAACCUCACACAGGACAGCCUGGUUACCAGUUGAUGAAAGCCACAGAGAAACACAGAGAAGACAAUGUGUCAAAAAAUUAAAGGAAACGCAUGGAACUGUAGCCAAGUGCAUGAUGCAUUAGAGACAGAAUGAAAACUAUUGCACAGGUUGAAACUUUGUGAAUGAUCCAAGAUUUAAAACAACUUGAAAUGUUUUCAAAGUAUUCCUUUAUUGCUUGGAAAUAGUUAGAGCUUUAAAAAUAUUUCCAAACCCUACCAAUGAAGGACAUACCUGGAUUCUUAACCAGGUGAUGUUUUUGAAAUGCAGAUUGUGAAAGUAGCUCUUUUAAAAGAAAAUAGAAUGCCUUUCAUGUUUGACUUCUAAAACUUGUAUAUGUUUUAGCAAUAAUGUAAGACUGCAUGGCUUGAAAUGUGCAGAGAUUCAAGAGUUUUAAAUAAAUGUAUGCUUUUGGG